UGUUGGAAUUCCACUGUCCAUUGUGCUUCCCGUGCCCUCGACUUCUUCCCAUAAACUCCAAGAAUGAUGAGAAGGAUUUUCCCAGAUUGAGAGAUAAAUCAAAAGUCCCAAAAUGAUUUAGGGAAAAACCAGAUGGAGAGAACUCCACGGCAAAAAUGUUCAUAACUCUCAAAUCACGGCGCCGAAGAAGCCUACUUGGACUUGCUCCGCUAGCUGAACAUGUUGGCUUCCUGACUGAUACUCAAAAACUUCAAGGCAAAUUGCAUAUUUCACCGGCCCAACAGUUGGAGGGCUUUCGAAUGCAACAUGUGCAAAUGCAACCGAGAUGAUCAUAGCAUGAUUAGCACUUCACCAGAACAAAGUUCAUGCUGUGAAGUUGUCCCUGCUGGGUUCCAUUCUCUCAAACCUUCUCUUGGUUCUUGGCAGUGCACUCCUCUAUGGUGGUUUAGCCAAUCUUAAGAGAGAACAAAAAUAUGACAGAGAUGUGGCAAUUGCUUAUGGAUUCAAUGCUAUUAGGUACCAAGCAGUAGUAGAUAAUAAAGGCUUGAAGAGAAUAUAUUCAAGAUGACAUUGGCUGGGCUAAAGUUGAAUUUGAAGACAACAAAGUGAUACACUAUGCUAAACAAAGAAGAAGAUUCGAACAAAAUGGAAAUAGUGAAGAUAAGUUUUCUAAUGCCUUGUUAUUUCCUUUGAUAAAUUUUACCUUCUCUCUUUGAAUUAAUUUCAUUUUUGCUAUUAAAUGACCUUAUACUAAAAUUUUAACAUUUUCUUCUUAAAAUUCAGGUUGCAGUGUACCCAGGAAGUGUCUUGGCCUUGCACAUGUCUAAACCACAAGGAUUUAAGUACUCUAGUGGACAGUAUAUUUUUUUGAGCUGCCCAGAUGUCUCGCCUUUUCAAUGGUAAUUCAACAUUUAACAUCGGUGCUGAUGUAAGCAAUGAUGUAGAAAUAUGUAGUUUCUAAGAUGGUGCUGACGUCAGCAUCGUCUUAGAAACUACAUAUUUCCACAUCGUUCCUGACAUCAGCACCGAUGUGGAAACAGACAUAUUCUACAUCGUUAACCAAGGGAUGACCGACUUAGAAGAUGUAAUUUCCACAUCGGUGGUGGGCUGAGGACCGAUGUAGAAAACAUUAUAUUUCUACAACGGUGGAUUUUGGAAUGAUGUUGAAACAUAACACUAACAACGACGUCGUAUUCUACAUCGGUUGAGCACCGAUGUAGAAUGUCGUUUUUGACCGAUGUAAAAAGUGCGCUUUCUAGUAGUGUUACUCAAACUAGACAAAUAUCCACGCGUUGUGUGGAUUUGUAAAUCAUUAAAGAAAUAUUUAAAUAAAUUAUUUAUUUACUAAAUCAA